UACGGGGGGAGCAAGCGUUGUUCGGAUUUACUGGGCGGAAAGGGCGCGUAGGCGGCGCCGCAAGUCACUUGUGAAAUCUCCGGGCUCAACUCGGAACGGCCAAGUGAUACUGCGGUGCUAGAGUGCGGAAGGGGCAACUGGAAUUCUUGGUGUAGCGGUGAAAUGCGUAGAUAUCAAGAGGAACACCUGCGGCGAAGGCGGGUUGCUGGGCCGACACUGACGCUGAGGCGCGAAAGCUAGGGGAGCGAACGGG
rnacentral:rRNA from 1 species